rnacentral:rRNA from 1 species
UAGGGAAUCUUCCACAAUGGACGCAAGUCUGAUGGAGCAACGCCGCGUGAGUGAAGAAGGUUUUCGGACCGUAAAGCUCUGUUGUUGGUGAAGAAGGAUAGAGGUAGUAACUGGCCUUUAUUUGACGGUAAUCAACCAGAAAGUCACGGCUAACUACGUGCCAGCAGCCGCGGUAAUACGUAGGUGGCAAGCGUUGUCCGGAUUUAUUGGGCGUAAAGCGAACGCAGGCGGAAGAAUAAGUCUGAUGUGAAAGCCCUCGGCUUAACCGAGGAAUUGCAUCGGAAACUGUUUUUCUUGAGUGCAGAAGAGGAGAGUAGAACUCCAUGUGUAGCGGUGGAAUGCGUAGAUAUAUGGAAGAAUACCAGUGGCGAAGGCGGCUCUCUGGUCUGCAACUGACGCUGAGGCUCGAAAGCAUGGGUAGCGAACAGGAUUAGAUACCCUGGUAGUCCAUGCCGUAAACGAUGAGUGCUAAGUGUUGGGAGGCUUCCGCCUCUCAGUGCUGCAGCUAACGCAUUAAGCACUCCGCCUGGGGGAGUACGACCGCAAGGUUGAAAC